GAUGAAGCUCUUGUUGGCACCAUAAAUUGGUUUUGCUUUACACUUUCUUGGUCAAGAGUGUGUGAAGUUUUUGAGAAUUGUGGUUACCCUCCAUUGAUGAAGCUCUUUUUGGCACCAUGAAUUGGUUUUGCUUCACACUGUCUUGAUCAAAAGUGUGUGAAGCUUUUGAGAAUUAUGGUUGAACUCCUUUGAUGAAGCUCUUGUUGGCACCAUAAAUUGGUUUUGCUUCACACUGUCUUGAUCAAAAGUGUGUGAAGCUUUCUACGAGUUGUAGUGUUUGCAUUGUUACAGAGGAUAAAUGUCUGAAGCAGAUGCAAGAGGGCUGAAUAGUUUGAUCUUCGUAUGCCAUGCACUGAAGUUGUUGUUGGCUUGAAACAAGA
rnacentral:lncRNA from 1 species